rnacentral:rRNA from 1 species
CCUACGGGCGGCAGCAGUGGGGAAUAUUGGACAAUGGGCGAAAGCCUGAUCCAGCCAUGCCGCGUGUGUGAAGAAGGCCUUCGGGUUGUAAAGCACUUUCAGUGGGGAAGAAAGCCUUGGGGCUAAUACCCUCGAGGAAGGACAUCACCCACAGAAGAAGCACCGGCUAACUCCGUGCCAGCAGCCGCGGUAAUACGGAGGGUGCGAGCGUUAAUCGGAAUUACUGGGCGUAAAGCGCGCGUAGGCGGUCUGAUAAGCCGGUUGUGAAAGCCCCGGGCUCAACCUGGGAACGGCAUCCGGAACUGUCAGGCUAGAGUGCAGGAGAGGAAGGUAGAAUUCCCGGUGAAGCGGUGAAAUGCGUAGAGAUCGGGAGGAAUACCAGUGGCGAAGGCGGCCUUCUGGACUGACACUGACGCUGAGGUGCGAAAGCGUGGGUAGCAAACAGGAUUAGAUACCCCUGUCGUC